GGCUCAUCACAUCCUGGGGCUGUAGCAGGUCCCAAGGGUAUGGCUGUUCGCCAUUUAAAGUGGUACGCGAGCUGGGUUCAGAACGUCGUGAGACAGUUCGGUCCCUAUCUGUCGUGGGCGUUAGAAACUUGAGGGUGAGUUGCUCCUAGUACGAGAGGACCGGAGUGAACGUACCUCUGGUGUUCCGGUUGUCACGCCAGUGGCAUUGCCGGGUAGCUAUGUACGGACGGGAUAACCGCUGAAUGCAUCUAAGCGGGAAGCCCCCCCCAAGAUAAGGUUUCUCUGAGGACUUGAUCCUCCUGAAGGGCCGUCGAAGACUACGACGUUGAUAGGCUGGGUGUGGAAGCGCUGCAAGGCGUGUAGCUAACCAGUACUAAUUGCCCGUGAGGCUUGACCAU
rnacentral:rRNA from 1 species